rnacentral:rRNA from 1 species
GAGCGGCGCACGGGUGAGUAACGCGUGGGAAUAUGCCCUGGGGCUGGGGAUAACGGCGGGAAACUGCCGCUAAUACCCGGUACGCCAUGAGUGGGAAAGGAGCAAUCCGCCCUGGGAGUAGCCCGCGUUGGAUUAGCUAGUUGGUGUGGUAAGAGCGCACCAAGGCGACGAUCCAUAGCUGGUCUGAGAGGAUGAUCAGCCACACUGGGACUGAGACACGGCCCAGACUCCUACGGGAGGCAGCAGUGGGGAAUAUUGGACAAUGGGGGCAACCCUGAUCCGAGCCAUGCCGCGUGAGUGAAGAAGGCCCUAGGGUUGUAAAAGCUCUUUCGCACGCGUACGAUGAUGACGGUAGCGUGAGAAGAAGCCCCGGGNUAACUUCGUG